rnacentral:sRNA from 1 species
GGGGGCAAUCUGGCUGUGACAUCUGUCGCCCCACUGAUUGACAGGGUUGAAUCAGCUGAUCUGGCUGGCUAGGCAGACGUCCCUAGCCACUUCCUCCCUC